GACGAACGCUGGCGGCGCGCUUAACACAUGCAAGUCGAGCGAGAACCUAGGCUUCGGCCUAGGGGACAGCGGCGAACGGGUGAGUAACACGUGGGUAAUCUGCCCUCGACAUCGGGAUAGCCCGGGGAAACCCGGAUUAAUACCGAAUGGCCCAUCCGCUUUUCGGAGCGGCUGGAAAAGGUAGCUUCGGCCUCCGGUCGAGGAGGAGCCCGCGGCGGAUUAGCUUGUUGGUGAGGUAAUGGCCCACCAAGGCGACGAUCCGUAGCUGGUCUGAGAGGACGAUCAGCCACACUGGGACUGAGACACGGCCCAGACUCCUACGGGAGGCAGCAGUGGGGAAUUGUUCGCAAUGGGCGCAAGCCUGACGACGCAACGCCGCGUGGAGGAUGAAGGUCUUCGGAUUGUAAACUCCUGUUGCCCGGGACGAAAAGCUUCGACCUAAUACGUCGGAGUCUGACGGUACCGGGUGAGGAAGCCCGGCUAACUCUGUGCCAGCCGCCGCCGUAAU
rnacentral:rRNA from 1 species